rnacentral:rRNA from 1 species
UAAAUGACUCUCGGCAACGAAUAUCUCAGCUCUUACAUUGAUGAAGAACAUAGUAAAAUGUGAUACUUGGUGCAAAUCGUAGAAUCUCAUAAAUCGUCGAGUCUUUAAAUGUAAGUUGCGCCAGAACCAUUAGGCCGAGAGCACAUCUGCUUGGGAGUCACAA